rnacentral:tRNA from 1 species
GAGGUCAGGGUGCGUAGCGCGCCACACUGGCAGUGUGGGGUCAGGGGUUCGAGUCCCCUUGGCUUCA